rnacentral:tRNA from 1 species
GCAUCGGUAGUUCAGAUGGAAUUCAGAAUAUCGGUUUCCGAAGCCGAAGGUCGCAGGUUCGAGUCCUGCCCGAUGCA